AGAUGGNCAUGCGUUCCAUUAGCUUGUUGGUAAGGUAACGGCUUACCAAGGCAACGAUGGAUAGGGGGACUGAGAGGUUGACCCCCCACACUGGUACUGAGACACGGACCAGACUCCUACGGGAGGCAGCAGUGAGGAAUAUUGGUCAAUGGGCGCAAGCCUGAACCAGCCAAGUCGCGUGAAGGACGACGGUCCUAUGGAUUGUAAACUUCUUUUGUAGAGGAAUAAUGAUGGCCACGAGUGGCUGAAGGGAAUGUACUCUACGAAUAAGUAUCGGCUAACUCCGUGCCAGCAGCCGCGGUAAUACGGAGGAUACGAGCGUUAUCCGGAUUUAUUGGGUUUAAAGGGUGCGUAGGUGGCGAAUUAAGUCAGUGGUGAAAAGCUGCAGCUCAACUGUAGUCUUGCCGUUGAAACUGGUUUGCUUGAGAGGAGACGAGGUAUGCGGAAUGUGUGGUGUAGCGGUGAAAUGCAUAGAUAUCACACAGAACGCCGAUUGCGAAGGCAGCGUACCAGGCUCUGUCUGACACUGAAGCACGAAAGCGUGGGUAUCAAACAGGAUUAGAUACCCUGGUAGUCCACGCUGUAAACGAUGAAUACUAGAUUUUUGCGAUAUACAGUAAGAGUCUAAGCGAAAGCGAUAAGUAUUCCACCUGGGGAGUACGCCGGCAACGGUGAAACUCAAAGGAAUUGACGGGGGCCCGCACAAGCGGAGGAACAUGUGGUUUAAUUCGAUGAUACGCGAGGAACCUUACCUGGGAUUGAAAUUUAGGAGAACGAUUUAUGAAAGUAGAUUUUCCCUUCGGGGCUCCUAAGUAGGUGCUGCAUGGUUGUCGUCAGCUCGUGCCGUGAGGUGUCGGCUUAAGUGCCAUAACGAGCGCAACCCGCGUCGAUAGUUACUAACAGGUAAUGCUGAGGACUCUAUCGAGACAGCCGUCGUAAGACGAGAGGAAGGGGCGGAUGACGUCAAAUCAGCACGGCCCUUACAUCCAGGGCGACACACGUGUUACAAUGGCAAGGACAAAGGGAAGCCACAUAGCGAUAUGGAGCAGAUCCUCAAACCUUGUCCCAGUUCGGAUCGGAGUCUGCAACUCGACUCCGUGAAGCUGGAUUCGCUAGUAAUCGCGCAUCAGCCAUGGCGCGGUGAAUACGUUCCCGGGCCUUGUACACACCGCCCGUCAAGCCAUGGGAGUCGGGGGUACCUGAANAGUGUAACCGUAAGGAGCGCUUA
rnacentral:rRNA from 1 species